rnacentral:rRNA from 1 species
ACAUACGACCAUAGCUGGUAGAAAUCACGGGAUCCCGUCCGCUCUCCCCUAGUUAAACUACCAAGCGCUGGAUUAGUAGUACGGUGGGUGACCACGUGCGAAUACCCGGUGUUGUAUGUC